rnacentral:misc_RNA from 1 species
AUGAACAUGUUUGACGCUCAGGUGAGGUCAAUGGUUAAUUUAUUUUUUUUCUUCCAGAAGAAGAUAUAUAAAAGACACUGACGUAGGACUUUCCUGGGGGGGUCAGAUUCUCUGCACUCGUGUUUAACUUUUGGAAAAGAGCAUUUCUAGUUAGAUUAACGUUAUAUACUGAUGCUUUUGAUAGCCCAAUGACAUCUUGCCAACUGUUAGUUCAUUUUAAUGUAAGGUUCAAAUUUUCUAAAUUAGACUUGGAAUUUAAAAUUAUUAUUGCAUGAUGACCCACCACCAACAAUUAUUUGACUAUUAUAUAUGAUAAUUUAGAGGUAAAAAAAAAUGUAGAAUUCUGUAGAAAAUUCUAGAUCCAGUUAAAUUAGAAAAGGUUGUUCUUCCACUUGGCUCAAAGUUGAUAACUCUAUUGUCAAUUCUUCUCUCUUGCUUUUUCUAUGGAAGGAUAGUGAGCACUGAAUUUCACUUUGAUGUGACUUGUUGUGAGCCAUGACAAGCUGGCCACUGCUAUAUUAAUCUUUUAAACCAAGUCCUUCUAUGAUUUGAAUCAUUAUUGAAGCUGA